UGACAGCACUGGUCCUUGGGGACUCCUGGA
rnacentral:piRNA from 1 species